CAAUAGCGUAUAUUAAAGUUGUUGCGGUUAAAAAGCUCGUAGUUGGAUUUCUGCUGAGGACGACCGGUCCGCCCUUCGGGUGAGUAUCUGGUUUGGCCUUGGCAUCUUCUUGGUGAACGUAUCUGCACUUGACUGUGUGGUGCGGUACCCAGGACUUUUACUUUGAGGAAAUUAGAGUGUUUCAAGCAGGCAUACGCCUUGAAUACAUUAGCAUGGAAUAAUAAGAUAGGACCUCGGUUCUAUUUUGUUGGUUUCUAGAGCUGAGGUAAUGAUUAAUAGGGAUAGUUGGGGGCAUUCGUAUUUAACUGUCAGAGGUGAAAUUCUUGGAUUUGUUAAAGGCGGACUACUGCGAAAGCAUUUGCCAAGGAUGUUUUCAUUGA
rnacentral:rRNA from 1 species